rnacentral:rRNA from 1 species
CCUACGGGGGGCAGCAGUGAGGAAUAUUGGGCAAUGGACGCAAGUCUGAACCAGCCAUGCCGCGUGCAGGAAGACGGCUCUAUGAGUUGUAAAAUGCUUUUGUACGAGGGUAAACGCAGAUACGCGUAUCUGUCUGAAAGUACCGUACGAAUAAGGAUCGGCUAACUCCGUGCCAGCAGCCGCGGUAAUACGGAGGAUUCAAGCGUUAUCCGGAUUUAAUGGGUUUAAAGGGUGCGUAGGCGGUCGGAUAAGUUAGAGGUGAAAUCCCGGGGCUCAACUUCGGAAUUGCCUUUGAUACUGUUCGGCUAGAGAGUAGUUGCGGUAGGCGGAAUGUAUGGUGUAGCGGUGAAAUGCUUAGAGAUCAUGCAGAACACCGAUUGCGAAGGCAGCUUACCAAGCUACUUCUGACGUUGAGGCACGAAAGCGUGGGGAGCAAACAGGAUUAGAUACCCUUGUAGUC